AACGAACGCUGGCGGCAGGCUUAACACAUGCAAGUCGAACGGUUGUAGCAAUACAGCAGUGGCAGACGGGUGAGUAACACGUGGGAACCUUCCUAGGGGUACGGAACAACUCGGGGAAACUUGAGCUAAUACCGUAUACGUCCGUGAGGAGAAAGAUUUAUCGCCCCUAGACGGGCCCGCGUAGGAUUAGGUAGUUGGUGAGGUAACGGCUCACCAAGCCUACGAUCCUUAGCUGAUCUGAGAGGAUGAUCAGCCACACUGGGACUGAGACAUGGCCCAGACUCCUACGGGAGGCAGCAGUGGGGAAUCUUGGACAAUGGGCGCAAGCCUGAUCCAGCCAUGCCGCGUGAGUGAAGAAGGCCUUCGGGUUGUAAAGCUCUUUUACCAGGGACGAUAAUGACGGUACCUGGAGAAUAAGCCCCGGCAAACUUCGUGCCAGCCGCCGCAGUAA
rnacentral:rRNA from 1 species